AGAGUUUGAUCCUGGCUCAGAAUCAACGCUGGCGGCGUGCCUAAUACAUGCAAGUCGAACGCGAAAACCCCGAAAGGGGUUAGUAGAGUGGCAAACGGGUGAGUAACGCGUGGGCGACCUACCUCAGAGUGGGGGAUAACCUUCCGAAAGGAGGGCUAAUACCGCAUGACAUUCCGUGUUUGGAUACACGGACAUCAAAGCCGGGGAUCGCAAGACCUGGCGCUUGGAGAGGGGCCCGCGUCCGAUUAGCUAGUUGGUGAGGUAACGGCUCACCAAGGCUCCGAUCGGUAUCCGGCCUGAGAGGGCGGACGGACACACUGGAACUGAGACACGGUCCAGACUCCUACGGGAGGCAGCAGUAGGGAAUUGUUCGCAAUGGGCGCAAGCCUGACGACGCAACGCCGCGUGGAGGAUGAAGACUUUCGGGUCGUAAACUCCUUUCGACCGAGAUGAAUACUCUCUUACCUAAUACGUUUGAGAGCUGACAGUAUCGAGGGAAGAAGCCCCGGCUAACUCCGUGCCAGCAGCCGCGGUAAUACGGGGGGGGCAAGCGUUGUUCGGAAUUACUGGGCGUAAAGGGUUCGUAGGUGGCUUUCUAAGUCAGACGUGAAAUCCCUCAGCUUAACUGGGGAACUGCGUCUGAAACUGGCGAGCUUGAGUGCAGGAGAGGAACGCGGAAUUCCAGGUGUAGCGGUGAAGUGCGUAGAUAUCUGGAGGAACACCGGUGGCGAAGGCGGCGUUCUGGACUGUAACUGACACUGAGGAACGAAAGCCAGGGGAGCAAACGGGAUUAGAUACCCCGGUAGUCCUGGCCCUAAACGAUGAAUGCUUGGUGUGGCGGGUAUAGAUCCCUGCCGUGCCGAAGUUAACGCGUUAAGCAUUCCGCCUGGGGAGUACGGUCGCAAGGCUGAAACUCAAAGGAAUUGACGGGGGCCCGCACAAGCGGUGGAGCAUGUGGUUCAAUUCGACCACGCGAAGAACCUUACCUGGGCUCGAAGUGUAGAUGACAAUCGGCGAAAGUCGACUUCCGCAAGGACAUCUGCAGAGGUGCUGCGUGGCUGUCGUCAGCUCGUGUCGUGAGAUGUUGGGUUAAGUCCCGCAACGAGCGCAACCCUUGUUCUCUAUUGCCAUCAGGUAAAGCUGGGCACUCUGAGGAGACUGCCGGUGACAAACCGGAGGAAGGUGGGGAUGACGUCAAGUCAGCAUGGCCUUUAUGUCCAGGGCUACACACGUGCUACAAUGGCCGGUACAAACCGUUGCGAGCCCGCGAGGGGGAGCUAAUCGGAAAAAACCGGUCCCAGUUCGGAUUGCAGGCUGCAACACGCCUGCAUGAAGUUGGAAUCGCUAGUAAUCGCGGAUCAGCACGCCGCGGUGAAUACGUUCCCGGGCCUUGUACACACCGCCCGUCACAUC
rnacentral:rRNA from 1 species